UGUAAUGGGGGAUGGAAAGGGUGAACAUGCAUAUAUGGCGGGUGAAAAAAGUAUUAGUACAAUUUUGAAAUUUGAAAUAUAAGGAGUAUAUGGAGAUUUUACAUACUGGUCUGAGUAGAUAAUUAUGGAUGAAAGAGAAGUUAGUUAGUAUAAUUUUAAAUUUUGAAAUAUUAGAAGGAUAGGGAUAUAUUACAUAAUUUCGAAAAUAGUAAAGAGGGUAAGAUAAAAAAUAAAUUUGGCAAACCGACCGUCCCUAGAGCAUGUGGCAAAGGGCUUGGUGGUUGGUACCCGAGACCUAAGUUCGAAUUCUAGUCGAUUCACAUUUCUAGCUAAGUUUAUUUUUAAAUGAAAUAAACGAAACGGGUAGCGUGCAUGCUACCUAUCUCUCAAAAAAAAAAAAAAUUUGGCAGAAACUAUUUUCUGAAAGUUUGAAACUAAAGUUAGUUAGUAUAAUUUUGAAAUUUGAAAUAUUACGAGGAUAGGAAUA
rnacentral:lncRNA from 1 species